rnacentral:rRNA from 1 species
AUUUUUGGCAAUGGGGGAAACCCUGACCAAGCAACGCCGCGUGGAUGAUGAAGUAUCUCGGUACGUAAAAUCCUUUCGACGGGGACGAAACCGCAAGGUUGACGGUACCCGUAGAAGAAGCCCCGGCUAACUCCGUGCCAGCAGCCGCGGUAAUACGGGGGGGGCAAGCGUUGUUCGGAAUUACUGGGCGUAAAGGGCGCGUAGGCCGCUUGUUAAGUCGGGUGUGAAAACUCUGGGCUCAACCCAGAGCCUGCACUCGAAACUGAUGAGCUAGAGUUCUGGAGGGGAAAGCGGAAUUCCUGGUGUAGCAGUGAAAUGCGUAGAUAUCAGGAGGAACACCGGUGGCGAAGGCGGCUUUCUGGACAGAAACUGACGCUGAGGCGCGAAAGCUAGGGGAGCAAACAGG